rnacentral:rRNA from 1 species
AGAGAAAAAGUCAAGUGCAGCCGGUGGAUGCCUUGGCUCUCGGAGGCGACGAAGGACGUGAUAAGCUGCGAUAAGCCCGGGUUAGGUGCAAAUGACCCUUGACCCCGGGAUUUCCGAAUGGGACAACCCGUCAGGUUGAAGACCUGUCAUCCGCUUUAGCGGAGGCCAACGCAGGGAACUGAAACAUCUUAGUACCUGCAGGAAAAGAAAACAAGAGUGAUUCCCCCAGUAGUGGCGAGCGACCGGGGAGGAGCCCAAACCGCGUCUGUUACGGCAGACACGGGGUAGUAGGACCGCGCUACGGAGAAGCAAAAGUGAGGAGAAGCGAGCUGGAAAGCUCCGCCAGAGAAGGUGACAGCCCUGUACCCGAAGCGUUUGCCAUCCCAGCGGUAUCCUGAGUAACGCGGAUCACGAGGAAUUCUGCGUGAAUCAGCCGGGACCAUCCGGCAAGGCUAAAUACUCCCGAGAGACCGAUAGUGCACAAGUACCGUGAGGGAUAGGUGAAAAGGACCCCGCGCAGGGGAGUGAAAGAGUUCCUGAAACCGGAUGCAUACAAGCGGUCGGAGCCCCUUAUGGGGUGACGGCGUGCCUUUUGCAUAAUGAUCCUACGAGUUACCGUCGCUGGCAAGGAUAAGCGCCGUUAGGUGCGCAUCCGAAGGGAAACCGAGUCUGAACAGGGCGAAGUUCGGCCGUAAGGCCAAACCGCAUUUUGCGAUAGUCACCGGCGGUAGACGCGAAACCAGGUGAUCUACCCUUGACCAGGGUGAAGGCCGGGUAACACCGGUUGGAGGCCCGCACCAAUAAGCGUUGAAAAGCUUCUGGAUGAGUUGAGGGUAGGAGUGAAAGGCCAAUCAAACCUGGAGAUAGCUCGUACUCCCCGAAAUGCCUUUAGGGGCAGCCUUGCAUGUUUACGUCAUGAGGUAGAGCGACCAAUAGGAUGCGAGGGCUUCGCCGCCUAUCAAGUCCUGAUGAACUCCG